AGGAUUUUAUGUUGGGAUGGUGAUCAGAUUUGCAUUUUGAGAUCACUCAGAGUAUAGUGUACAGGAAGAUUGGAAGGGACAAGAGUAAGUGCUAACGGGCAAGAGAUGAUGAAAAUACUAUCCCUCAGCUUCAUAUUUGCUCUUUCUUUCAUGAAUUCCCUGUCAUCUUAAUAUUUCUUCCUACAAUUCAUUAAAUUCCCUACCUAUUGCAUCCUGCUUAGUUAAGUGGUAAGCUCCAUGCUGAGUGUCCAUGACUGAUUAUUAUCCUCUGAGUCUAGCACAGAGCCCUACAUAUAUUCAGUGCUCGCUAUAAAGAGUUUGCAUCUCAGCAUUUCAAAGUUGAAAAUGCCCUUAGAGGAAAUCUAGGCUGACUGCUUUAUUUUGCAAAGUCCAGGCAGGUUAAGCAACUUGCUCAAGAUCAUGCAUUAAAUUAGUAAUAGAGGUUUGAUUUAAUAUUAGCAUUCUGACUCUAGUUUAUGAAUGAUUCAAAAGAUUAGUGAAUAAAGACUUUUUUCUCUCUUGUUUACAGUUGGAAUCCUAUAGUGAAAUAAAGAGAGGAGCCAGCAGUUUGAGAAGAAAAUAAUGGAAAGAGAAGGUAUAGAGUUAAAAAUGAAGUAAAUGUCCACAUUUGCUCUUCACAUGGGAUCAGUUUACAUUCUGAGGUAUAAUCAUCUCAGAACAUUUCAAGAUUUAAUGAGAAUGAAGAAGACAUGUGUUUUGGGUUUCUGAUGUAUGGCAUGUAAUGGAAAGGAACCUGGGCUACGAUUUUAGAGAUUUUGUCUCUGGUCUUGAUCUCACUACUGCAAAGCUUUGUGACCUUGAGUAAGUAUCCUUUUCUUGUCCUCCUGUUGAUUUCUUCAUUUGUAAUAUGAAGAGAUUGUAAUUGAACUUUACUACUCAAACUAUAGUCCAUGAAACAGCAAUAUCCAUAUCACCUGGGAGCUUUCUAUAACUGUGGACCUCUUUCCAAACCUACUGCAUCAGAUUCUGCAUUUUAACAAAAUCCUCAGGUGGUUCACAUUAAACUUUGGAAAGCAUUGGACUAAAGAACCUCUAAGGUCCCUUUCUAUGCUAACUUUUUAGGACUAAAGAAACUUAAGAGAGGAAAAUAUGAAACAAAAACAAAACAGCUUUAGUGAUACUGAUAUUUUAUUCUUUCUGAGAAAAAAGAGAUAUGACCCAAAUAUGUGACAUAUCCUGACUGAUACAAUCAAAAGAUCCUUUUUUUUUUUUUUUUU
rnacentral:lncRNA from 12 species